rnacentral:rRNA from 1 species
GACGAACGCUGGCGGCGUGCUUAACACAUGCAAGUCGAACGGAAAGGCCCUGCUUUUGUGGGGUGCUCGAGUGGCGAACGGGUGAGUAACACGUGAGUAACCUGCCCUUGACUUUGGGAUAACUUCAGGAAACUGGGGCUAAUACCGGAUAGGAGCUCAUGCUGCAUGGUGGGGGUUGGAAAGUUUCGGCGGUUGGGGAUGGACGCGCGGCUUAUCAGCUUGUUGGUGGGGUAGUGGCUUACCAAGGCUUUGACGGGUAGCCGGCCUGAGAGGGUGACCGGCGACAUUGGGACUGAGAGACGGCCCAGACUCCUACGGGAGGCAGCAGUGGGGAAUAUUGCACAAUGGGCGGAAGCCUGAUGCAGCAACGCCGCGUGCGGGAUGACGGCCUUCGGGUUGUAAACCGCUUUCGCCUGUGACGAAGCGUGAGUGACGGUAAUGGGUAAAGAAGCACCGGCUAACUACGUG